AACGAACGCUGGCGGCAUGCCUAACACAUGCAAGUCGAACGGAAAGGCCCUGCUUUUGUGGGGUGCUCGAGUGGCGAACGGGUGAGUAACCCGUGAGUAACCUGCCCUUGACUUUGGGAUGACUUCAGGCAAGUGGGGCUAAUACCGGCUAGGAGCUCCUGCUGCAGGGUGGGGGUUGGAAAGUUUCGGCGGUUGGGGAUGGACUCGCGGGUUAUCAGCUUGUUGGUGGGGUAGUGGCUUAGCAAGGCAUGGACGGGUAGCCGGCCUGGGAGGGGGACCUGCCCCAUUGGGCCGGGGAUACGGCCCAGACCCCUACGGUAGGCAGCGGGGGGGAAGAUUGCACAGUGGGCGGAAGCCUGAUGCGACAACGCCGCGUGCGGGAUGACGUCCUUCGGGUUGGAAACCGCUGUCGCUUUUGACGAAGCGGUAGUGACGGUAACGGGUAAAUAAGCACCGGCUAACUACGUG
rnacentral:rRNA from 1 species